rnacentral:rRNA from 1 species
AGUGAACGCUGGCGGUAGGCCUAACACAUGCAAGUCGAACGGCAGCACAGGAGAGCUUGCUCUCUGGGUGGCGAGUGGCGGACGGGUGAGGAAUACAUCGGAAUCUGCCCAGUCGUGGGGGAUAACGUAGGGAAACUUACGCUAAUACCGCAUACGACCUUCGGGUGAAAGAGGGGGAUCGCAAGACCUCUCGCGAUUGGAUGAGCCGAUGUCGGAUUAGCUAGUUGGCGGGGUAAUGGCCCACCAAGGCGACGAUCCGUAGCUGGUCUGAGAGGAUGACCAGCCACACUGGAACUGAGACACGGUCCAGACUCCUACGGGAGGCAGCAGUGGGGAAUAUUGGACAAUGGGCGCAAGCCUGAUCCAGCCAUACCGCGUGGGUGAAGAAGGCCUUCGGGUUGUAAAGCCCUUUUGUUGGGAUAGAAAUCUUUCAGGCUAAUACCCUGGGAGGAUGACGGUACCCAAAGAAUAAGCACCGGCUAACUUCGUG